rnacentral:rRNA from 1 species
UACGUAGGGUGCGAGCGUUGUCCGGAAUUAUUGGGCGUAAAGGGCUCGUAGGCGGUCCAUCGCGUCGGGAGUGAAAAGCUGGGGCUUAACCCCAGUCCUGCUUUCGAUACGGGUGGACUAGAGGUAGGUAGGGGAGAAUGGAAUUCCCGGUGUAGCGGUGAAAUGCGCAGAUAUCGGGAGGAACACCGGUGGCGAAGGCGGCCACCUGGACGGUAACUGACGCUGAGACGCGAAAGCGUGGGGAGCAAACAGG